CAGCCGUAAACUAUGCGCGUUAGGUGUAUCGGUGACCACGAGUUACCGAGGUGCCGAAGGGAAACCGUGAAACGUGCCGCCUGGGAAGUACGGUCGCAAGGCUGAAACUUAAAGGAAUUGGCGGGGGAGCACCACAACAGGUGGAGCCUGCGGUUUAAUUGGACUCAACGCCGGAAAUCUCACCGGAUAGGACAGACAAAUGAUAGUCGGGCUGAAGACUCUACUUGAUGAUCUGAGAGGAGGUGCAUGGCGUAGACGUCU
rnacentral:rRNA from 1 species